rnacentral:rRNA from 1 species
UACAGAGGUCUCAAGCGUUGUUCGGAUUCAUUGGGCGUAAAGGGUGUGUAGGUGGCGCGCUAAGUCGGGUGUGAAAUUUCGGAGCUUAACUCCGAAACUGCAUUCGAUACUGGCGUGCUUGAGGACUGGAGAGGAGACUGGAAUUCAUGGUGUAGCGGUGAAAUGCGCAGAUAUCAGGAAGAACACCCGUGGCGAAGGCGGCUCUCUGGGACGGUACUGACGCUGAGACGCGAAAGCGUGGGGAGCGAACAGG